UACGAAGGGUGCAAACGUUGCUCGGAAUCAUUGGGCGUAAAGAGCGUGUAGGCGGCCUGGUAAGUCCGCUGUGAAAGUCCAGGGCUCAACCCUGGAAUGCCGGUGGAAACUGUCAGGCUCGAGUCCGGAAGAGGCGAGUGGAAUUCCUGGUGUAGCGGUGAAAUGCGCAGAUAUCAGGAGGAACACCGGUGGCGAAGGCGGUUCUCUGGGAAUGACCUGACGCUGAGGAGCGAAAGUGUGGGGAGCGAACAGG
rnacentral:rRNA from 1 species